GAACAGCGGCUGGGAACAUCAGAGAACAUCAGAGCCUUUUGCGCUUGAAGACGGUCCAUCCCAGAACUACGACAGUUCAAGCAGAAAGCAGGAUGUUUCCUAUCAUGGCGAUGCUCUUGCUGAUAGGAACCACAGCUGAGAGAGACACGCCCACCUUCAUCUACACUAACAGCACCGGGUUUGGUUUCUCCAUGCGCGAGUGCCGGCUUCACAUCACCGACGACCCGAAGAACCCCCUGAGCUGCGUGAAGAACCAGACGGCAUGCUACGUCUCGUGCUCGGAAGGGGGCAACUUUAACUUUACGUCUAACUCCAGUGAACUCACGGUGGAAGGCAAUCAAGCCUGUGACAGUUUCUACAUCGCUGGAGCAAAUAACACCUGUAAACUCGUCCCGUGCACCACGAAUGAAAUUAAAGAAGUUCUACAGCCGUUAAAUAACCCAUCUGCAAACCUUAAUGAGCUGAAAACACUUCUGAAUGUCAAACAGAUGUGCAACAAUCUCUUUGAUGAUUUUCAAUUCGUGGAUUUCUACAUUGGAGUAGAAGAACGCAUCAUACACAACGUUCUCAGGGACCUGUCGUUAGCUAAUGUUUCACUGGACUUUGACCUGGAGGACCUCGUCAUGACGGUGACCGGUGUUAAUUGCAGCAGGCAAGACCACUUCAUAAAUGUGACGUCACCAACGAGUGUUCCAGGCUACACCCCUGUGGAGACGCUGAUUCCUGUGGAAGCUUUCAUCAACACCCCAGCGGAGAAACAGAAGGCAGCAGUGGUGCGUUACAGGUCUUCACAGCAGUUUCUGGUCGGUCAGGAUGUCAAGCUGGUAUCCACGGUGGUUCGGGUGGAAGUGCUGGAGCCUCUGAAACAGCUGAAGACGCCGCUGAGGAUGAGUUUCGCUGUGAAUUGGAUCGAUUUCUCUCCAGUGAGUAAGGCC
rnacentral:lncRNA from 1 species